rnacentral:misc_RNA from 1 species
GAAAUGCGAUAAGUAAUGUGAAUUGCAGAAUCCAGUGAAUCAUCGAAUCUUUGAACGCACAUUGCGCCCGCCAGCAUUCUGGCGGGCAUGCCUGUUCGAGCGUCAUUUCAACCCUCGACCUCCCCUUGGGGAGGUCGGCGUUGGGGACCGGCAGCACACCGCCGGCCCUGAAAUGGAGUGGCGGCCCGUCCGCGGCGACCUCUGCGUAGUGAUACAGCUCGCACCGGAACCCCGACGCGGCCACGCCGUAAAACACCCAACUUCUGAACGUUGACCUCGAAUCAGGUAGGACUACCCGCUGAACUUAAGC